GAUUUUUACCCCAGUUCCCUAAAUGGCCCCCUCAAGGAUUGAACUCACAACCCUGGGUUUAGCAGGCCAAUGCUCAAACCACUGAGCUAUCCCUCCCCCAGACAUGAAGAAUCUUGCCGCUAGGUAUCAAGACCUGCCACAAAAUGGAGGCUGUUGACCAUAAAGAAGGGUGCAAUCCAGCGUGAAGGUCACAUUCCAAAAUGAAGGUUACAGUGUAGGGUAGAGCUCUGGAAACCAAACAGGGUUCACAGAACACGAUGGAGGUCACAGUCUAACACAGACAUGCCCCCCAUUCUGUCACCCUGUUCAUUCCCUACAGCUCGCCCAUUGUCAGCUGGGUUCUUCAAGCGUCGAGCAGUUUUUAAAAAGUACGUUUGAUUCAUUGUAACUUCAGUUCGCUAGUAGGUCAGCUGCCUGGCAAGUCCUCCCAGUAAUGGCCAUGGGGGUAACCAUCUGGUUACAGAAAACUUUUGUGCUUGUUAAAAGUCUGCCUGCGAUUUCCCUGUUUUCAGUUUCAUGGAGAGGAAUCUUGUUUGAACCAAUUCACUGGGGGAGCGUCAUCGAAAUUUCUAAAGGGUUCCUCUGGUGUGAUGUUGGUUGCUAUCAAGAAUGUCAUAAAUAUGAUGUUUCCUAUUCUGCGUCCAGCGUGUAAAACUGUUAUUUUCCAUGUGGAUUUCCCAUAAGCAUUUGCUAGAUAGUCCGCUAAGAUUUUCUCUCUCUGGAGGACUGGUAGAGGGAUGCCUGCAUGUCAGGGGCUGGCAGAAAUGGGGUGCUCUGUUUCUGAAGCCAGCAAAGGGCUUCCUCCUUCCUUCCUGCAUUGUUCUGACUAUAAGUGAAUUACGUUGUUAUAUGCCUUAAGCAUUGGAGACUCCCUGUCCUGAGUGUGCUAAACAGAAUUAAAUCUGUGCGCAGCACAGGGAAGGACAGCGAGCCCUCUCCUCUAUCCAGCUGACAACAAUUACUGCCUUUGUUUUCUUUUGUGUCCCCGCUCCAAAGCAGGACAACCAAAGACACCAGGAGCUCUGAUUCCAUCCAGGAGAGAGCAGUGGAGCAUGUUACUUGCUAUUUUAGCACAACUGCUGCCAGUGAGGGAGUGGGUGCAUCAGCAAAUGAUUUCACAUUCGGUUCGUAUCCGAGUAGCUAUGCUCAUAACGUCCCUGCUACGACUGAGUAUGAUGCAUGAACCAGAUGUUUGCAGAGGCCUGAGGAGACUCUGUAAGAAAUAUCAAAGUCGGUGACUUCUCUCCAACCUUCUGAUCUGCCUCUCAAGUGCCUGCUAAACAUUACCCAGGCCCCAGUAGAUAAUCUGCCAGACAUCACGGCUGGGGGUCUUGUUCUUGAUCUGUUUGUUCUUAGCAUUGCACAAUGCACAUUGUGUGGGCUGGGGGGUGGGGCAGUGAUUGGUCAGAUGGAGCCUCUCUGGGAUGGGGCCAAAGAAGGACUUUGUGUAAAGAAACCCUUUCAAUUGGAUCAUCUGUUCAAACAAGCCUUCUUCCCAGUUACAGCCAGCAGAAGAGACUCCUGUGAUUUCUCCCAGACCAACUGAGAUUGCGAGCAGAGAGUCUGUGCAUUCCCCAAGGGGAGACUAAGACCAUGAGGAGACGCCUGCUGCUUCUAUUGGCUUUUGCGGUGCUAGCUGUGGCCACCAUGGCUAGCCCCACCACGCAGGAGUUGCUGGCUGUGGAAGAUCUGGGUGCAGUAGGACCACAUGCCAGAAUAAUAACCCAGGAGAAUGGAUUCCAGACACAGCUGAAGGGAGGAAGAGUGCGGAGGUCUGGGAAGGGGAAAAAGAAGGGCCGGUGGAACGCAGGCUCUCUCACCGCUCUUGGAGCAGCCGUACCCAAAGGCUGGAGAGGAUGAGGCUGCAUCUCGGCCCAGGAGUAGGUGGCCAUCCUGCUAGCCACGUCCGCUUGGUCUUGAAAGCUCUUGCAGGGGAUGGGAGGGAGUCAGGGAGGAGCCCCUCCUACUCCAGCUGCCCCAGGCUUUAGGGGAAGGCAAGCUUGAUGCUGGCUACCUGCGGAUGAGGUUGCCUGCUCUUCCUAGAUGCUGCUGGGCUCAGGCCAGGACUAGCCUCAGUGCUGCCUGGAACAUGAAAAAACAAUCAUUUUUUUCUGUAACAGAAUAAAACCACCCAGUGCAAUCUA